CCCGCAGCCCAGCCAAGGGUCGCGGGGGCCCGCAGCGGGCCAAGAGCUCUCCCCAGCGUCCCGCAGCAAAGAGCUGCGCAGGAACCCGCAGCUCGGCCGGCGGCGGAAAUGAUUCGCAGCUCGCCGGUCCAUCGCUCCGCCGCCACCCACCGAGCGGUGGCAGAGAACACGCACCGUGCCCCCACCGCGUCCCAACCGUGUCCCCACCGCACCGGCGUGGCCUCCGCUCCACAAGCUGCCGGGACUCAGCCAUCAAAGAAUCGGAGAAUCACUAAGGCUGGAUGUGUUGCACACACUCAUGGCUGCAGGAGGACCACUGCAGACCAGCCCCCACCUUCCACCUCCAAACCACCAGGGUUGGACCCACAGCUCCUGGCAUGCAAAGCCUCAGGAAGCCACUACAGACCCAGCUCCCCUACCCUGCAGCAGCAGCAUCUCAGGCAUGGGGAAACUGAGGCACGCCCUGCACGUCUGGGCUUUUUUGGAAGUGGGUGUCAGAGUAGACCCAUGGGAGGAGAGAGCUGCUCCCAGAGAGGAAGAGAUGCAGCC